GACGAACGCUGGCGGCGUGCUUAACACAUGCAAGUCGAACGGAAAGGCCCUGCUUUUGUGGGGUGCUCGAGUGGCGAACGGGUGAGUAACACGUGAGUAACCUGCCCUUUACUUUGGGAUAACUUCAGGAAACUGGGGCUAAUACCGGAUAGGAGCUCCUGCUGCAUGGUGGGGGUUGGAAAGUUUCGGUGGUUGGGGAUGGACUCGCGGCUUAUCAGCUUGUUGGUGGGGUAGUGGCUUACCAAGGCUUUGACGGGUAGCCGGCCUGAGAGGGUGACCGGCCACAUUGGGACUGAGAUACGGCCCAGACUCCUACGGGAGGCAGCAGUGGGGAAUAUUGCACAAUGGGCGGAAGCCUGAUGCAGCAACGCCGCGUGCGGGAUGACGGCCUUCGGGUUGUAAACCGCUUUCGCCUGUGACGAAGCGUGAGUGACGGUAAUGGGUAAAGAAGCACCGGCUAACUACGUG
rnacentral:rRNA from 1 species